CUAACACAUGCAAGUCGAACGGUAACAGGAAGAAGCUUGCUUCUUUGCUGACGAGUGGCGGACGGGUGAGUAAUGUCUGGGAAACUGCCUGAUGGAGGGGGAUAACUACUGGAAACGGUAGCUAAUACCGCAUAACGUCGCAAGACCAAAGAGGGGGACCUUCGGGCCUCUUGCCAUCGGAUGUGCCCAGAUGGGAUUAGCUAGUAGGUGGGGUAACGGCUCACCUAGGCGACGAUCCCUAGCUGGUCUGAGAGGAUGACCAGCCACACUGGAACUGAGACACGGUCCAGACUCCUACGGAGACAGCAGUGGGACUCCUACGGGAGGCAGCAGUGGACUUCNAUCUCACGGCAGCAGGGGGACUCCUACGUGAAGUCGUAUGGGUGAUUCU
rnacentral:sRNA from 1 species